UACGUAGGGGGGCUAGCGUUGUCCCGGAAUCAUUGGGCGUAAGAGCGUGUAGGCGGCCCGGUAAGUCCGCUGUAAAAGUCAAAGGCUCAACCUUUGAAUGUCAGUGGAUACUGCCGGGCUAGAGUCCGGAAGAGGCGAGUGGAACUCCUGGUGUAGCGGUGGAAUGCGCAGAUAUCAGGAAGAACACCAACGGCGAAGGCAGCUCGCUGGGACGGUACUGACGCUGAGACGCGAAAGCGUGGGGAGCGAACAGG
rnacentral:rRNA from 1 species